GAUAGAUAUUAAUUUAAAUAUUUAAUCUAAGAAUAUAAGGGUAGAGCUUUAUCAUUCAAUAAUAAAUGAAAUAUAAGUUAAUAAGUAUUUAUUUUGAUAAUUAGGUUUUUUAGUGGCCAUAUUUUUAAAGUGUUUUAACUAAUAUAAUUGAAUAAUUUAUUUAUUAGAUUUUAUUAAAUUAAUAAUAUGUUUUUUAAAAUGGAUAAAUAUUAGAAAUAAUGAAAAUAUUAGUAGAAUUAAUAUAUGAGAAAAAAGAAAAGUAUUAAAAGUAAAAUAUGAAAAUAGUUAAGAAAAAAAUAGAGGAACUCGGCAAAUAAGGUUCUUGCCUGUUUAACAAAAACAUGUCUCUAUGAAGUUAUAUGAAGUCUGACCUGCCCAUUGAAAUUUAUUAAAAGGCCGCGGUAUAUUAACUGUGCAAAGGUAGCAUAAUUAGUAGUUUUUUAAUUGAAGGCUUGUAUGAAAGGUUGGACAAGGGAUAAGCUGUCUUUAUUUUUAUUUUUGAAUUUGUCUUUUAAGUGAAAAGACUUAAAUAAGUUUAAGGGACGAUAAGACCCUAUAAAUCUUUAUAUUAGUUUAAUUUUAUUUUAAAUUUUAAUGUUUAAAAGAGUAAAGUUAAUAUAGUAUUGUAUUGGGGUGAUAGGAAUAAUUAGUAAACUGUUCGAAGGUAUAAACAAAAAUAUUUGAUUAUAAUUAUUAGUAGAUCCUUAGUGGAGAUUACAAGUUUAAGUUACUUUAGGGAUAACAGCGUUAUUUUUUUUGAGAGUUCUAAUCGAAAAAGAAGUUUGCGACCUCGAUGUUGAAUUAAAAUUUCUUUGUGGUGUAGUAGUUACAAGAGAGAGUCUGUUCGACUUUUAAAAUUUU
rnacentral:rRNA from 1 species